rnacentral:lncRNA from 1 species
CCCACGCAUAUGCUUUUGUAGUUAGAUUGUUGGGUUAUGUUACGGUACUUCUUAAAUAUAUGUUAUAAAAAAUUAAGAGAUAUUUUAGCUAUUAAUUAUGUAAAAUUAAUUUAAAAAAAUUCAUCUCAAUAUGUUAUCAAUCGAUAAUCCGUAGGAUUAUUUUUUUUAAUUUUUUUUUCAUGACAUCCCUCACUAUUCCCUGAUCACUUUAGUGCCCCAUAUUCU